CUAAAAACAGAGGAGAACACGCACCCUGGUCCUGAGGGAGUAUGGGAGAGGGGGAGCUGCUUCCUGCUGGCGGGGCAGAGCUGAGGCCACUCCCUGUCACCCACGCUUGGGCGGUCAGCAGUCUCUGGGCUUGGGACUCAGUGUUUUCCUGCUAAUUUAUGGGGCAACACUUUCCUCUAGGAAAUGGGGCAGAGAGCCAGAGAUCCUCUCUUUUAUUGUUCCUUUCCCUUCAAGGGGGAUGGAGCUUUCUCAGGAAGGAGUCAAAUGCUCGUUUCCCGUUUAUUCUGCAAGUGUCAGAUGCAGCUUGGGGACAACUGAGAGGUGAUGGAGUCCAGGGGGACGUCCCCAAGGAUGACGGGCGAAGCCGUGAGUGGGUGGCUUUAAAGAUUGCCCUGUUUCAAACUCAGGCAGAGGGCCCAGGGCUCAGGUGGGCAAGGCCAGGGGCUGUCUGGGCAGUCAGGGGUGUGGGGACCACGAAGACCACCGCCUGAGGUGCUGACCCGGCCCAGGGCAAGCUGAGCAGCCCCAUGGUGUCUCGUGGUUGGUGAGAAAUGCAGAGACACCAAGUGGGGGUGGGGAGGCUCCGUGGGCGUGGCCACCCCCAGGACCUGAGCCAAGAACCCCCACCAAGCCAGGGCUCUGCGUGCCUGUGGCCUGCUGCUUCCCGAAGAGCCGCAGGGUCGGUGCCACGGUGCCAGGUACAGAUGCAAAGACUGAGGCUCCUGCGCAGAUGCGGUCCCAGAAAGCCACAGCAUGGCCCCAGAGAGGGGCCACACUAGGCAUCCGCUCCCCUGCACCUCCAGGCCGCUCUGAGCCAACGGGCCUCCGUGCUGGGGCCCAUUUUCAGGAAGGGCCAUUUUCGGGGUGUUAAAACAGAGAUAUAGCCCCUAAAAAGGCUCCAUAAAGAAAAACACAGCAGGUGACCUUCCGGAAGCAUCCUGUGGACUCCGAGGGCCAGGGAUCCAGCUGCUGUGGACAGCAGACGGUGAUGACAGAGGACGGUGAGCCCAGCUCCUGAUUUCAAGCAGAAUCAGGGCCGGCUGGCAGGUUUCCAUUCACCAGUGUUUCCAUAAGAUGCGGGUCAGGUUCCCAGAGAUGCCCAACCCUGAUGCCAAAGAGAAUCGGAGAAAUCUGCAAGGGGCUUAAAGAGGCAGCAGCACUGCUUUUCAGGUGUUGGACAACGCGUUUGGAGUUUGGAACUGAAAGGUGCAGAGAGGAAGUGGCUUUCCUGGCCUGAUCGCAAGGCAGACCCCAAAGCAGGCGUGUGCAACCAGUGGAGGCCCCUGUCUGCAUCAGGAGCAUCCAAAUCCCAAAAGAGAAGCAAAGAGUGGCGAGGCCAGG